rnacentral:rRNA from 1 species
UACGUAGGGUGCGAGCGUUAAUCGGAAUUACUGGGCGUAAAGCGUGCGCAGGCGGUUUUGUAAGCCAGAUGUGAAAUCCCCGGGCUUAACCUGGGAAUGGCAUUUGGGACUGCAAGGCUUGAGUGCGGCAGAGGAGACUGGAACUCCUGGUGUAGCAGUGAAAUGCGUAGAUAUCAGGAGGAACACCGAUGGCGAAGGCAGGUCUCUGGGCUGACACUGACGCUCAUGCACGAAAGCGUGGGGAGCAAACAGG